rnacentral:lncRNA from 1 species
CCCCGGUUUCUGCAAAGUGGAGCGGGGGUGGGGCGGGGUAGCGGAACUCAUGCGCUGGGCGUCAGAAACCCGGCAGGGGAAUGGGGUCCCAGAUUCCGGGCACGUGCACAUGGGUGAAGAAGCUGUUGAAAAUACAGCUACAAUCUUUUUCUGCUCUCCUCCCAACUCAUCUUGCCCCUCCCUACCUCUGAACAGUCGCCUUCCAACACAAGCAACAAUAAAGUUUAGUCUACGGUCCUCAGAGCUGCCGGAAGAGAAGAAUCAAUGGAUGAUAAAAUAACUAGACAAUGAUGGGUAGGAGUGAUGGAAGUUCACUGUAAGCUCCUAUAACCCCCCAUCACCAUCACCACAUGCCUAAUACAACCUGCAGACACACUUACUCGCAACAGACCUGCAAUCUGGGCUCUCUUUUCCUUCUUGAUGGAGGCCUCAAAACCUCAGCAGUUGUACCCAUUAAACUAAAAUGCUUUUUCCCUCUUAGUAAAAAAAAAAAA